rnacentral:rRNA from 1 species
AGAGUUUGAUCAUGGCUCAGGACGAACGCUGGCGGCGUGCUUAACACAUGCAAGUGGAGCGACGAACCAGGGCUUGCCCUGGGGCAGAGCCGCGAACGGGUGAGUAACACGUGGGUUACCUGCCUCGAUGACCGGGACAACCCGAGGAAACUCGGGCUAAUACCGGAUGUGCCCGCAAGGGGAAAGGAAGCUUCGGCCUCCGCAUCGAGAUGGGCCCGCGGCCCAUUAGCUUGUUGGUGAGGUAACGGCUCACCAAGGCUUCGAUGGGUAGCUGGUCUGAGAGGACGAUCAGCCACACUGGGACUGAGACACGGCCCAGACUCCUACGGGAGGCAGCAGUGGGGAAUCUUGCGCAAUGCGCGAAAGCGUGACGCUGCAACGCCGCGUGGAGGAUGAAGGUCUUUGGAUUGUAAACUCCUUUCGAUCGGGAAGAUGAUGACGGUACCGGAAGAAGAAGCCCCGGCUAACUUCGUGCCAGCCGCCGCGGUAAUAC